GGGAAUGCGCAGGAGCCGGUUGUCUCUCCCCAUCUCAGCAUCCCACCGAAUAACCCAAGCUCCAGCUCCGCUCUCACCCCUCUCCAUCCCCACCUCCUGCCUGUGCCCCCUGGCCGCCAGCAGCCCUGCCUGACAGCUGACGCCGGCUCCGGUGACCCCACGGGUCCCCGCGCCGCUGCUCGCCCUGCGUCUGGCGCUGGACCAGCGCACGUGCGAUGGAUGGGAGCAGCCACCGCCCGCAGCAAGGCAGCCCCAUCACGCUCCUUUCAAGCCCGGGCUGAGCACGCAAGCUGCCGGCUGUCGGGUGUGGGGCGGGGAGAAUAGCUCUACACGGACAGCCUGUCAGGACUCAUGGGCUCACCCUCUGCCUCCUCUCUGUGGCUGGAUUUCCACAAGGACCUACGCCUGCCAGACUCAGAUGUCCACCCUGCACUGCGCUGCUUGCCUUCCGUGCUCAAGCCUUGCCUGCCCAGUGGUCUCAGGAAUGCUGACAAUGGUUUGGUGUUGGUCAGCAGCUGCUGGCUGUAGUCAAGGUGGCAAGGACAGAGUGUGGAUGUGAAGAGCUUGAGAAGAGAUGCAGUGGGGUGAUAUUUGCAAUUAAAGCUUCAGAGAAUGGUUGUCUACCUGCCAGGACACAGCUUAGUUGCCUUCACUUAACUCUGUUUUGAUGACACGACCUCUUCCUGCACUGAGUUUCCAUACUAUGGAUGUCAAGGAACUGUUGGCGCUGGAGUGACUGAGGGAUUGUCAUGGAAUCACAGAACUAUUAAUGUUGGAAAGACCACUAAGAUCAUCUAGUCCAACCAUCAACCCAUGCCUGUGACUGCCCUAGACCGUGUCACUCAGUGCUAUGUCUACCCUAUUCUUGAGCUCCUCCAGAGACAGUGACUCCACCUCCUCCCUGGGCAGUCUGUUACGAUGCCUCACCAUUGUUUCUGAAAAUACAUUUUCCCUAAUAUUCAACCAGUUUGCGCUCAGACUGAUCUGAAUCCAAGAGUGUCUACCAAGGCUUGGACCUGGCUGUGCUCCAGAGUCACAGGAGAGGCAGCUCUCGUGCUUCCAGGAGCAAAACGCUGCAGCAAAUUCAGAACAAGUACAAGCAAAACCCACUGGAUGAGUCUUUGUUGGCCCCAAAUGCUGCCUUGAAUGCUGACAUGUCCUGGUUGGCUGAUUUCUUGAUAGCAUGUGUUGAUGUUCUACAUUUCACAACGAUUGUUUGAAAUGAAUUCUGCUGUUUCUGCUCAUUAAAAUAUUUCCAGUUGUUGG
rnacentral:lncRNA from 7 species